GCAGYCGCGGUUAAACCAAGAUGGUCAAAUUAUAUAUUCACGGUAAAAAAAUAGUUAGACUUGAUAAAGUUUACUAAAUAUUUAUAAAAGAGUAAAAUCUGAAUAUAGGUAAAAAAUUUUACUUAAGCUUGAAUGUUGAAGCUAUGAAAACCUUGAGGGAAACUGGGAUUAGAUACCCCAUUAUUCUUGGAUAUAAAGUAAUUACGAUUUACCAGAGUACUAUGAAUAAACGAUUUAAAACUUAAAGAGCUUGGCGGUGUUUUAGACCUCUUAGGGGAACCUGUCUCAUAAUCGACAGUCCACGUUAAACCUGACCUUUUUUUGCUCCCAAUUUGUAUACCGUCGUCGUCAGGUAACUUUUUAGAAAAAAGAAGUUAGCAAAUAAAUAAUAUUGAGUUUAUACGUCAGAUCAAGGUGCAGUUAAUAAAAAGGGGAGGAUGGGUUACAAUUAUACAAUCAUAAUUACGAAAAAUUUUUUGAAACAGAAUUAUGAAGGAGGACUUGAAAGUAAAAUAAAAUACAUGAAUAUUUUGAAUUAGGCUCUGAAACGUGCACACAUCGCCCGC
rnacentral:rRNA from 1 species